rnacentral:lncRNA from 1 species
GGGGCGGGGCUGCGCGUGCCAUCUCCUGAAAUCGCCGCGGGCGCGGGCCUCAUUCCUCAGAUGUGCAUUCUCACAUGGACAUCUUAUAAACGUCAUCAUUUCCCCAUUGUGAGCAUCAAAAGGAAAAUUUGCUUCUGUGUUUUGGAGGAACCUUCACUUUGGAUGUCAUCUUCUGGCUUCCAGCGCAGACUCUUCAGUCUCCAGCGCAGAUCCUCUGGCCUCCUGAUACAAACUUGCAUGGACACUACUGUGAGCCCCAGGUCUUCAACUGGAUCCUUCAAAUCUCCAAGGCACAGACAGACAUUUUGCAUCUUCCACACCUGACUCUGGGUGGCCACUGUAAGCUAAUCUUGUAAAUUCUUAUGUAUUUGUAUAUCUUGCAUUAAAUCUGCUUUUCUAGUAAGCACUGACUGAUAUACCACAUAUUAUCCCAUACUUAUAAACCCAACUGCAACCGCUGCUUCCACUUGUCCUUCUUGACUGCUAUAAUUUUCCAGUGGUGUCAGAGGCUUGACCCUCAUUGACCCUAGGGAAGAGGAAGUUGGGCAUUGAUUAAGAACACUGUCAUAGUCCUGUUUCAUAGUUGUAUAUGGGUGAUGAAAAAUCCUUUAUGUAUUGUUAAUUUCCUUGCUCUUCUUUGUUUUCUUCUUAGUUAUCAAAUACUUACUAUGGUUUAGACUGAGUGCUUGUGUCUCCUUAGAGUUCCUAUGUUGAAACCUAAUCCUAAGCAUGAUGGUUGUAGGAGGUGGGGCCUUUGGGCAGUGAUUAGGUCAUGAGAAUGGAGCCCUCAUGAACAGAAUUAGUGACAUUAAAAGAGGAGAUUCUGCUCCUUGGCCUUUCUGCUAUAGGAAGAUCAGCAGUACAUGAUCCAGGAAGCAGCCCUCACCAGACACAGAACCUGCUGGGGCCUUCAUGUUGGACUCUCCCUUCCAGAAUUGUGUGAAAUGAAUUUCUAUUCUUUUUAAGCCACUCAGUCUAAGCUAUUCUGUUAAUGCAGUCUGAAUGAAC